rnacentral:lncRNA from 1 species
UUACAGAAAAUAAACAUUCAAAGGCCAGAAUGCGGACUACACCUAUGUAAGUAAAGUACGUCCAUUAUAACUAUCUUAUCUUAAUAAACCUGAGUAACUAACUACCUGCUAAAAAUGUUCCAAACAAGCCAUAAAGCGCUUAGCCACUCAAUGUCUGAAUCUCGUAUUCAUAUUGGCCGAAUCGAUAUGGUCAAGUUGUUGCCCGUUGAUAUCCGAAGCCUAAGACUCGAUCAGCAAUUUCUAAGAAUAGAUCAAUCCCAAGAAUACAGUUUCAACUUCACUCAACUAUUCAACGAUCUCCACUUUGGUACCUGCAUGGAUAGAUUCAGACCUACAAGCUUGAUUCUCGUUCAACAUUGGUUCAAUCCUCCACCCAACCUUCCUACUUUCCCUCGGAUUGUCCUUCUACUCACGAACAUAUCACUUCUUUCGCUUCUUCUAUGCUCUAAUCCUGUUUUACUCCUUCCUAUUCGUCAAUGGAGUUCAUUCUGAGAUAUUUAUAGAAGAUCUCCAAGCUCACUCGCCAUGCAUGAGGUCCAUAACAGCACGAGGUAAUCGAACAAUAUCCCGUUAAAAACGGUAAGUAUUGCCUCUUUCUCAAUCGAGUCUUAUAAUACAUCACGCUAGCAAUGAUUUCCAACAAGUCUAACGGCUCUAUCCCUUCCCUUCCUUUCCUUUUCUUUCAAGCUCCAUUUCUCACCUAUCGUUCUAUACGACUUGCGCUGAUUGAUCAAUUGAUGCUAUUUUCAGAAACAUUCCAGCCGUUUCUUCUGCGUCCUGACCUUGUCUAUACCA